AGGACUGGGUUAAGCAUAGAAAGGAGGUAGUGAUGAGUAGUGACUACUUCAAGAGGAAAGUAGCAGUUCAGUCACCUUAUCAGAAUCCCCCUCCAGGAAAACUAACAUUUGGAGGAGUAUUGCACCAGUUCAUACUCAGCAAGGAGAAAUACUCCAGCCCUCUGAGCAUUCUUGUGACUUCUUGUGAACGCUCUCCAAUUAGCCUAUGUCCUUCUCAUGUUGGGAGCUGAAUGCACUAGUAUUCGUUCAAGAGUUUUAGGAGAGAACAACUCAGAUUCCUCAGAAGAAGGAAAUAAGGAGGCACGAGUUAUCAUUAUCCAUCAGUUAAUUUACUUACAAAGAUUGAUAUUAACAUGUCACAAACCUCUUCUCACUCCACAAAAAGCCAAAAAUACCUUUAAUGACAAUAUAGGUUUAUUUUCUGAAGGUCAUGAGUUUCCGUCCAGUAUCCAAGCACACACUUUAAUGUAAUUGCCUUUGAUGGGACUCUAAAUUAAGCUUGUGAUUAAAUGCUUUGUGGCAGAAGUAGAAAUUAAGCAUUUUCUUAUAUACCCAGAGGAACAUGAGACCAAUUAUUAGGUUAUUGGGUUCACUAGAUAUAUUCCUGUCACUUCUGAACUACUUGCUUUCAUAUCAGCGCUAGGAAUACCUAAGAGAAAAUUUGCCAAGCUUUGUAAUGUGAUCAGUGCACACAGAUCCUGACACUUUUGCAGAGCCCUGAAGCAGACCUGGUAGUGCUGGAGCUGAAAGAGUCCUGCUUUCCAAGAAAGAGUAAGAUUUGUCAUUUUUUAGUCAAGUUUUUUUUUCAUUAGUAUGUUCAUACUCUCAGGAAUCAGUUUGUGGGAUAGCACAAGGUCAAAGUGUGGUUAUAACACAGAGUAACCAGAUAGCUGCCUUGUCUGAGACCAUGGGAAACCUUACUGAAUCCGUUGUUCAGUCUUCAUAUAUCUUACAGUCUCUUGUUUAAAUAUUCAUCAUAUACAUAAUCUAAUGCGGAAGACAGAAAUACGUUGUUCGCUUGGCAACAACUGUAAACACUUCAGGUAAUUAUGUGACAGCUGUGAAAUGUGAAGGAAGGGAGAGGAAGCAUGCAGAGUUUUAUUGCCUGUAUAUGAAAGUAAACAGUGAAUUUGUAAACACAGAAC
ensembl:lncRNA